rnacentral:tRNA from 1 species
GCCACCGUAGCUCAGGGGUAGAGCACUCGAUUCGUAAUCGAGCGGUCGUGAGUUCAAAUCUCACCGGUGGCU